rnacentral:rRNA from 2 species
GGAUGAACGCUGGCGGCGUGCCUAAUACAUGCAAGUCGAACGAGUUUUGGUCGAUGAACGGUGCUUGCAUCGUGAUUCAACUUAAAACGAGUGGCGGACGGGUGAGUAACACGUGGGUAACCUGCCCUUAAGUGGGGGAUAACAUUUGGAAACAGAUGCUAAUACCGCAUAAAUCCAAGAACCGCAUGGUUCUUGGCUGAAAGAUGGCGUAAGCUAUCGCUUUUGGAUGGACCCGCGGCGUAUUAGCUAGUUGGUGAGGUAACGGCUCACCAAGGCGAUGAUACGUAGCCGAACUGAGAGGUUGAUCGGCCACAUUGGGACUGAGACACGGCCCAAACUCCUACGGGAGGCAGCAGUAGGGAAUCUUCCACAAUGGACGCAAGUCUGAUGGAGCAACGCCGCGUGAGUGAAGAAGGCUUUCGGGUCGUAAAACUCUGUUGUUGGAGAAGAAUGGUCGGCAGAGUAACUGUUGUUGGCGUGACGGUAUCCAACCAGAAAGCCACGGCUAACUACGUGCC